ACGCUGGCGGCGUGCUUAACACAUGCAAGUCGAACGGUAACAGGAAGAAGCUUGCUUCUUUGCUGACGAGUGGCGGACGGGUGAGUAAUGUCUGGGAAACUGCCUGAUGGAGGGGGAUAACUACUGGAAACGGUAGCUAAUACCGCAUAACGUCGCAAGACCAAAGAGGGGGACCUUCGGGCCUCUUGCCAUCGGAUGUGCCCAGAUGGGAUUAGCUAGUAGGUGGGGUAACGGCUCACCUAGGCGACGAUCCCUAGCUGGUCUGAGAGGAUGACCAGCCACACUGGAACUGAGACACGGUCCAGACUCCUACGGGAGGCAGCAGUGGGGAAUAUUGCACAAUGGGCGCAAGCCUGAUGCAGCCAUGCCGCGUGUAUGAAGAAGGCCUUCGGGUUGUAAAGUACUUUCAGCGGGGAGGAAGGGAGUAAAGUUAAUACCUUUACUCAUUGACGUUACCCGCAGAAGAAGCACCGGCUAACUCCGUG
rnacentral:rRNA from 1 species